rnacentral:lncRNA from 1 species
UCCUGGGUCAGAGGCUUCCCUGGGGGUGGGAAUGGGCGUCAUAAGUCAUCAGGGUGGACUCCAUUCCCAUUGCUGUUCCUAGCCCCUAGUAGAUGACAACCUGGAGGCAAAGGUAUCCGGUUUACCUCUUCACUGAGUCAGUAGCAAGCAGUAGAAGUUCAUAAAUGGCCCGCUCUUGGGAAUUGAUGCAGAGAGCAGACAGUGUUUUUAUUUGCUUUAUUAGGCCAAAAGCAAUUAACUGUCUGUCCCCUGACCAGCCUUCAGCUGGAGCUUCGUUGAGACUCAUGACUGGUUUAGGUCUUGUUUAGGGUGGCAUUAACAGCCAUUGAUUUCUUCAAGGAGGCGGAGAGAAAUUCUGUGUGUUUUAACUGGAGAAUGAGCGAGUGUAGUGGUGUGCUUCUUAAUCCCAGCACUCGGGAGGUAGAGACCUCUUAUGAGCUUGAGGUCAGCUUGGUCUACACAUAGAUUUCCAGGCCAGCCAAGGCUACAUAGUGAGACCCUAUUUCAACAACAACAACAACAACAAAAAAGGUAGAUUGGAGAAUUGGGUCAGUGCUAGGAUUGGAACUCAAAGUUGAGUGUGCUAGACAAGUGUUCUGCCAUUGAGACCCCUGCUCCCUGCUUUAAAUGUUUUGUUUCACACUUUCGGCUAAGACUAGUUGUUCCUUCCUUAAAUCUCCAGCUUAGUUGGAUAGGCAGCUCCACUUAAGGUCUAGACAUUUUCAUGUGUUAUUUCCUUCACUCCUCCAGCCCUAAUAACUAUCAGAGUCCCCCUGUUUUCUAUGCAUGAGCUGCAGCCCCUCUGGAAAGACUUACCCUAACUCUCAUGGUGAUGAAGUAGACAGACUGGGCCUGUCUUCCUAAGCUUGGAACUUCUGAGGGUCAGCUCCUGCUUGGGCAGGGUGGGGAGACAGCACACAAAGAAUAAACUGAACAUGGUGGGGUGAGGGAAAGAACCUGUGGCCUCGGAGCUUACAGUCUGUGUUUGGUGUUUUUCCCCCUCACUCCAGAUUCUGCCUGAUCAAUGCAGGAGUCCUGUAUCUCUACUUCAGCAACUACCUACAGAUCGACGAGGAAGAGUAUGGUGGUACAUGGGAGCUCACCAAAGAAGGGUUUAUGACGUCAUUUGCCUUGUUCAUGGUAUGUGCAGCUGGUAGUCUUACAACUGUUCCUGUUCAUCUUACGGGAUGUCAGGUCACUCAGAGAAAACACUAGUUGACCUGUGCUAUGUGGUUAGGCUACUGUUCUUUUCAGUGGCCUCUCAAGCAGAAUCCUCCAAAAGAUGUGGUCUAGGGUGCUGUACAGUUGUGCAAAUCCAGGGCCCACUGUUAACUACGUGUUAGAAACUGGGAAAUGUUUUGGUACAUAUUUUUGGAGCUGGAUGUGGCUGUUCACAAUUGUAACCCCAGCAAGUGAAUUACAAAUUUGAGUUCAGACUGAGCUAUACAUAGAGACCUUAUCCUCAAAAGAAAGGAAAAAGCCAAGAAUGUAGAUAUGUGCAUAUGAAACAUAUCCAUUAUUCAUAAUAGGGAGAAGUAAACCACUCACAUGGCUGUCAUCCGAAGUGUAAAGUGUCUUCUAGCCAUACAGUAAAAUAAUUGUCUGUGGUCCUGCAGUAUAGGUGAACCUUGAAAACAUUAUGCCAAAUGGAAGAAUCUAGACAUAAAAGGCUACAUGGCUCCCCUUAGUAAAAUAUCCAAAAUACACAAGGCCAUGAGGCAGAAAGUAGGUUAAUGGUUGCCAGUACUUGAAGGGAGAGAGAUGGGAAGUAAGUGACCAUGGAACAGACCUUUUCUUGGAUGGUUUGGGAUUUGUGAACAUCCUAAAGACCUCAGAGUUGUGUAUUGCCAUCUUCACGUGGGGGAGGGGCCUGCAUUAACCAUCCGUGACGACAUGAAUAUUGCUUGUGUCUCCCGUAGGUCAUUUGGAUCAUCUUUUACACUGCCAUCCACUAUGACUGAUGGCAUUUGCUCCCGUCCCUUCUGUCCAGUCCAAAGGACCCUUUUAUUACAGCACAGAUACAUGCUUAUUGGGGCACUCCUGCUGUGUGGAACCGAGAAGACCCAGUCUCCUGGACUUAGAAUCAGCGUGUUGGGCAUCAGUGUUUUCCUGCAAGGGUUGUGAAACUUUUUAAAGAACCAUCCACCUUUGGGGAAGCAUUUCUGAGUUUGUCCAUUGUCAACAAUCUGUCCUUGGAUACCAUCAUGUAACAGCUGUUUGCCAAGUGGAGCUGCUGUUGAAUCUGAUGCGCCUCUGGAUCCGGAUGAAACAUUGUCUUCCUUGGUUCUCCGUCAGGUGUACAGUUUUUAAACAUCACUGCAUCUCAAGUCUUCUGAAAACACCAUGUGCGUGGUCCAUGGUACAAUACAAGCAGCCAUCUACUAAGUUCCAUUGUAGGAUGUUUUCAGAUACUUGAAUAAACAAAUCUUUAACUGAAA